rnacentral:rRNA from 1 species
CAACUUGGACCGCAUGGUCCGAGCUUGAAAGAUGGCUUCGGCUAUCACUUUUGGAUGGUCCCGCGGCGUAUUAGCUAGAUGGUGGGGUAACGGCUCACCAUGGCAAUGAUACGUAGCCGACCUGAGAGGGUAAUCGGCCACAUUGGGACUGAGACACGGCCCAAACUCCUACGGGAGGCAGCAGUAGGGAAUCUUCCACAAUGGACGAAAGUCUGAUGGAGCAACGCCGCGUGAGUGAAGAAGGGUUUCGGCUCGUAAAACUCUGUUGUUAAAGAAGAACAUAUCUGAGAGUAACUGUUCAGGUAUUGACGGUAUUUAACCAGAAAGCCACGGCUAACUACGUGCCAGCAGCCGCGGUAAUACGUAGGUGGCAAGCGUUGUCCGGAUUUAUUGGGCGUAAAGCGAGCGCAGGCGGUUUUUUAAGUCUGAUGUGAAAGCCUUCGGCUCAACCGAAGAAGUGCAUCGGAAACUGGGAAACUUGAGUGCAGAAGAGGACAGUGGAACUCCAUGUGUAGCGGUGAAAUGCGUAGAUAUAUGGAAGAACACCAGUGGCGAAGGCGGCUGUCUGGUCUGUAACUGACGCUGAGGCUCGAAAGUAUGGGUAGCAAACAGGAUUAGAUACCCUGGUAGUCCAUACCGUAAACGAUGAAUGCUAAGUGUUGGAGGGUUUCCGCCCUUCAGUGCUGCAGCUAACGCAUUAAGCAUUCCGCCUGGGGAGUACGGCCGCAAGGCUGAAACUCAAAGGAAUUGACGGGGGCCCGCACAAGCGGUGGAGCAUGUGGUUUAAUUCGAAGCUACGCGAAGAACCUUACCAGGUCUUGACAUACUAUGCAAAUCUAAGAGAUUAGACGUUCCCUUCGGGGACAUGGAUACAGGUGGUGCAUGGUUGUCGUCAGCUCGUGUCGUGAGAUGUUGGGUUAAGUCCCGCAACGAGCGCAACCCUUAUUAUCAGUUGCCA